rnacentral:rRNA from 1 species
GAUGAACGCUAGCGGCAGGCUUAAUACAUGCAAGUCGAGGGGCAGCGGGGGUAGCAAUACCCGCCGGCGACCGGCAAACGGGUGCGGAACACGUACACAACUUUCCUUUAAGUGGGGAAUAGCCCGGGGAAACCCGGAUUAAUACCCCGUAAUAUUAUGAAGUGGCAUCAUUUUAUAAUUAUAGCUCCGGCGCUUAAAGAUGGGUGUGCGGCUGAUUAGGUAGUUGGCGGGGUAACGGCCCACCAAGCCUACGAUCAGUAACUGGUGUGAGAGCACGACCAGUCACACGGGCACUGAGACACGGGCCCGACUCCUACGGGAGGCAGCAGUAAGGAAUAUUGGUCAAUGGACGCAAGUCUGAACCAGCCAUGCCGCGUGGAGGAUGAAGGUCCUCUGGAUUGUAAACUUCUUUUAUCUGGGAAGAAACCCCAUUAUUUUUCUAAUGUGGUUGACGGUACCAGAUGAAUAAGCACCGGCUAACUCCGUGCCAGCA